rnacentral:rRNA from 1 species
CCUACGGGGGGCAGCAGUGAGGAAUAUUGGUCAAUGGACGUAAGCCUGAACCAGCCAAGCCGCGUGCGGGAUGACGGCUCUAUGAGUUGUAAACUUCUUUUGUACGGGAAUAAUAGUUCUUACGUGUCCGGUUUUGUAUGUAUCUUACGAAUAAGGAUCGGCUCACUCCGUGCCAGCAGCCGCGGUAAUACGGAGGAUUCGAGCGUUAUCCGGAUUUAUUGGGUUUAAAGGGUGCGUAGGCUGUCGGAUAAGUGAGAGGUCAAAUGUCGUGGCUUAACCCCGGGACUGCCUGUGAUACGGGUAGACUAGAGAGCGGAUGAGGCAGGCGGAAUGAGUAGGGUAGCGGUGAAAUGCUUAGAUAUUACUCAGAACACCGAUUGCGAAGGCAGCUUGCUAAGCCGCAUCUGACGCUGAUGCACGAAAGCGUGGGUAGCGAACAGGAUUAGAUACCCUGGUAGUC